rnacentral:lncRNA from 1 species
GCCGAAUUGCCCUCGCCUGUGCAAUAAAAACGGACCCCGUGCCCUCGCCUGAAGGAACCUCUGUGUCGGAGUCGUGCCGGUGAAGAAAAUAGAGAGAGGUAAAACAAGGGAGGGCCGCCGCCAGGGGCAAUUCCUUCGUAGGUCGCCGAUUUUGCCUCUGUCGGUGGUCAGGGAGCUUCGCCUCGAUACGUGGGUGAUGUCCGUGGCAUCGUCGUGCAGCUAGGAGCUCCGGCUGCGGGCAAUUUCGCGCCGGCGUUGGUCCUACGCGGCAGAUCCGCCUUGUGCCGCGAGUGGUGCUCCUCUGCGCGUCAUCCGUGGUGAGUACCUUCCCCGUUCAACUCGCAUUGAUUCCCCGUUCGCGUGGCGCUAGACGGACAGUAAUUUGGGCUCGGGUCGUCGGCUUCACUGCCUCCGGUGAGGUGCGUGGCCGCAGCAGGGUCGCCGCCGUGCCGACCUCGGGGGAGGAAGACAGCGUCCAGGCCGUGUAUUUUGCGAUGGCCGGUCGGGAUUAGAUGGAGAGUAGCGCAAGUGACAGUCGUCGGAUCGCGAUCGUGCGGUCUAGAUCAACCUUAUAGUUAGUGAAUCGCGGGAUCAGAUCGUGUCCGUAGAUUUGUGGAUGGGCGCUUGGGAUCUGGUGUAGACGUGGCCGGAUCUCGGACGAUGAUACCGGAUCCAAGGGACUGGGUUGCGUACAGGUAUAGGCGCUGGUAGAUCUAAUUGUGACCGUAGGUUUUAAUCCAACGGCUGAUCGCGGCCGAUACCCCUUCGGUCGUGGCAAAUUCUUAAAGAGCCCCUGACUUAUCUGGGAAUUAACCCGCGGUCCCAUACAGCUCUGGAAUCAUUACAACUAAGCUCUGUUUUUAUCAUUCUAGCCCCUGAGCCUUCCUAGAAUUAGGACUCGUCCAGAGCCGUGUGAUAAUGGGAAAAAGUAAUAUAGGAGAUAGUUUUUAAAAUAAAAAUAAUUCCAUAAUAGUAUUUAAUCUCUAGAAAGUUCAUAUUAGCUUCUUUUUAGUCCGUUUCAGUUCCUAUAAUUUUGUAAUAUUAUUGUUCAUCAUAUAGUGCCACUGUUUUGACAUGAAAAUCGUAUUAAAAUUAAUCUCUUGGUUAAUCUUGUAUUGGAUACAUAAAACCUUAGGAAAUUCAUAACUCCUCUGUUUUAACUCCGAUUUGAUCCGUUCAAGUUGCCUUAGUCUCGUAUAAAUAAUUACUAUGCAAUAACAACACUUAUUAUACCAUGUCUCAUUCUUUUUUAAUUAGGUUUUUAUUUAACUUAUGUUGGUUAGUCUUGUUAAUCUACUUACCAUUAUAAUCUACUAAAAUAUGAUCUAUGAUCAAUUUAGAUUAAAGUUGAAUUAAUUACUACUUUAGGUUAUCUUUUCUCUGUAAUUUUAAAAUAAAUAUAGAACCUGGUGUUAAUCAUUUAAUCACAUCAUAACUUGAUGACCACGACUCUGAUCUUAGUAGUUCUCGUUCCCAUGAUAUCGUAGCAACGUGUAUAUUAUUAUUAUUAUUCAGUUUGUACUUAUGGUUGGUGUGAUGUUAAUUUUGUCUAUACCAUGUCUGUUUGUAUUGCUACGACUAGUAGUGAGGUCACGAGAAUCUGAAGAAUCACCCUGGUAUCUGGAAUCUCAAGUGCCAGGCAAGUUGUGCCCUUGAUCCACUUUUGUUACCCAAUAAUAUUCUUUAUUAUCAUUAUUCAUGCAUAGGUUUAAUUUUGAUGGGACCCAAUAGAUCACCCUAGACUGUUUAUCUUUUUACCUUGUUUACCCCUGAAUCAUUCGGUAGUUAUGCUAUUGCUUUACACGGUUUUUGGGUUAAUAUUUCAUUAUAUCCAUGCUCCUAUUAUUCUAUUAUGUUAUUUAUGUUCAUGAUAAGAUCAUUAUGUUAACGGGAACAUAGAGAACCACCCGGGAAAUUAGUGCUACCACAAGGGUAGUAUGGGAUGCCCUUGGCUGACUAAUUAGGAAAGCUAGUGGAUGACUACCUUACCCGAAAGGGGCAAGGGCAGUAGGGGAGUGGUCAGUGUAGGGAGGUCCUUGGGUUGAUUUUGCUACGAUGGCGGUCAGGCGAGGGAUCCCUGCAUUGGAGCUUCCUAAAAACUGUAGCGGGUUUUCUGAAGCUAGUGGAACUUUGUAAAAGCCUCGUAGUGUUACCCUGCCUCGCUUCCUUGGUAGAGGUGUAUGGGAUUCAUGACCCCUUGGCAGAUGGGUAACAUGACUUGUGGGUAAAGAUGCGCAACCUCUGCAGAGUGUAAAACUGGUAUACUAGUCGUGCACACGGUCAUGAGCGGCUCAGACACUCACAUGAUUAAUCUAUGGAUUAAAACUCAAUUUUUCAUUUGCAUUUGCAUGUGAUUAUUUAUUAAUUUUGUUCUAUUACUUAUUAUGGUUUGGUAUUUACUUACAUUUAGUAACUGCUAAUAAAAUUUGACCAACUUAUUAAAAGCAAUGCCCAGCUUUAACCAUUCUUUUUUAUAAGUCUUACACUUCAUGAGCUCCUACCUUUGGUGAGUUCAUGCACAUUAUUCCCCACAACUUGUUGAGCUAUGAUCAUGUGUGAGCUCACCCUUGCUGUCUCACACCCCCCACAGGAGAAGAACAGGUGGUUCAAGAGGAGCCACACAACGAGGAGUUUGAUUCGAUCUAGGUGGCGUCUCCGAGUUGACUUUCUGGCGCCAAGGAUGGAUUUUAGUUCAACCUGUAUUUAUAUUUUAUUUUGUAAGACUUCCGCUAUGUAAUAAGUACUCUAACUAUUGUGGUGUGACAUCUGGCAGUCUUGGCUUGCUUCCUAAUGCUACACCCUAAUCUCCAAAAGUCCAAAUAACACACAAGAGAUGUGGAAAAGUUUUUGGGACAUUGAUAGUUCCCUUUGCUCAGAAUAGGAUCCGAAUGUCGCCUAGAGGGGGGUGAAUAAACGAAUAAAAAUUAACACAAAAAAUUAGUGCAGAGCCACCAUUGCCCUAUUGGCCGCGAUAGGGUAAGAACACAACAUAACGGUAAAGGGCCUCCAAUGAGUACCAGCGAGUCCUCUGCCUAGAAGAAGACCAUAAUAUGAAGCAACUUUCCAAGGCUAGUGACAACAUAAACCAAUCAAAAUUGUAUGAGUAGUUCGCCAAGUG